rnacentral:rRNA from 1 species
UCCUUGGUGAUUCAUAAUAACUUAACGAAUCGCAUGGCCUUGUGCCGGCGAUGGUUCAUUCAAAUUUCUGCCCUAUCAACUUUCGAUGGUAGGAUAGUGGCCUACCAUGGUUUCAACGGGUAACGGGGAAUUAGGGUUCUACUCCGGAGAGGGAGCCUGAGAAACGGCUACCACAUCCAAGGAAGGCAGCAGGCGCGCAAAUUACCCAAUCCCGACACGGGGAGGUAGUGACAAUAAAUACUAAUACAGGGCUCUUUUGGGUCUUGUAAUUGGAAUGAGUACAAUUUAAAUCCCUUAACGAGGAACAAUUGGAGGGCAAGUCUGGUGCCAGCAGCCGCGGUAAUUCCAGCUCCAAUAGCGUAUAUUAAAGUUGUUGCAGUUAAAAAGCUCGUAGUUGAACCUUGGGCCUGGUUGGCCGGUCCGCCUCACCGCGUGCACUGGUCCGACCGGGUCUUUCCUUCUGGGGAGCCGCAUGCCCUUCACUGGGUGUGUCGGGGAACCAGGACUUUUACUUUGAAAAAAUUAGAGUGUUCAAAACAGGCCUAUGCUCGAAUACAUUAGCAUGGAAUAAUAGAAUAGGACGUGUGGUUCUAUUUUGUUGGUUUCUAGGACCGCCGUAAUGAUUAAUAGGGAUAGUCGGGGGCAUCAGUAUUCCAUUGUCAGAGGUGAAAUUCUUGGAUUUAUGGAAGACUAACUACUGCGAAAGCAUUUGCCAAGGAUGUUUUCAUUAAUCAGUGAACGAAAGUUAGGGGAUCGAAGACGAUCAGAUACCGUCGUAGUCUUAACCAUAAACUAUGCCGACUAGGGAUCGGGCGAUGUUAUCUUUUUGACUCGCUCGGCACCUUACGAGAAAUCAAAGUCUUUGGGUUCUGGGGGGAGUAUG